rnacentral:misc_RNA from 1 species
UGGUUCUGGCAUCGAUGAAGAACGCAGCGAAAUGCGAUAAGUAAUGUGAAUUGCAGAAUUCAGUGAAUCAUCGAAUCUUUGAACGCACAUUGCGCCCGCCAGCAUUCUGGCGGGCAUGCCUGUUCGAGCGUCAUUUCAACCCCUCGGGCCCCCGGGCCCGGCGUCGGGGCCCUCCCAGCUCACCGCGGGGAGGCCCUCAGAGACAGUGGCGGACCCGCCGCGGCUCCGAGCGCAGUAGUACACUCCUCGCUCCGGUGCCCCGCGGCGGGCCUCCUGCCGUGAAACACCUCAGACACAUAAGGUUGACCUCGGAUCAGGUAGGAAUACCCGCUGA